rnacentral:misc_RNA from 1 species
ACCUACUGUUUAAUUUUGAGGGUUCGUUUUUACGAAUACUCAAAAUUAGCACUUUUAGCAACAGAAUAAACUGAACGCAUGUGAAGUUUGUUUGUUGGCGCUGUGCAUUAGCACUUUAAGCAACGGAAUUUAUUCGUUGGCGUUGUGCGUUAGCACUUUGAAAACUGCAUAUAUAUUUAGUGAUAUGACAUCUAAUUUGUAAUAUAUAAAGCUGAUAACUUUUUAAAAUUAUCGAAGUUGAUAGCUUCUAAUCUAUCAAACCUUUUUAACUGGUCAA